AGAGUUUGAUCCUGGCUCAGGACGAACGCUGGCGGCGUGCUUAACACAUGCAAGUCGAACGGAAAGGCCCUUCGGGGUACUCGAGUGGCGAACGGGUGAGUAACACGUGGGUGAUCUGCCCUGCACUUUGGGAUAAGCCUGGGAAACUGGGUCUAAUACCGAAUAUGACCAUGCGCCUCCUGGUGUGUGGUGGAAAGCUUUUGCGGUGUGGGAUGGGCCCGCGGCCUAUCAGCUUGUUGGUGGGGUAAUGGCCUACCAAGGCGACGACGGGUAGCCGGCCUGAGAGGGUGACCGGCCACACUGGGACUGAGAUACGGCCCAGACUCCUACGGGAGGCAGCAGUGGGGAAUAUUGCACAAUGAGCGCAAGCCUGAUGCAGCGACGCCGCGUGAGGGAUGACGGCCUUCGGGUUGUAAACCUCUUUCAGCACAGACGAAGCGCAAGUGACGGUAUGUGCAGAAGAAGGACCGGCCAACUACGUGCCAGCAGCCGCGGUAAUACGUAGGGUCCGAGCGUUGUCCGGAAUUACUGGGCGUAAAGAGCUCGUAGGUGGUUUGUCGCGUUGUUCGUGAAAACUCACAGCUUAACUGUGGGCGUGCGGGCGAUACGGGCAGACUUGAGUACUGCAGGGGAGACUGGAAUUCCUGGUGUAGCGGUGGAAUGCGCAGAUAUCAGGAGGAACACCGGUGGCGAAGGCGGGUCUCUGGGCAGUAACUGACGCUGAGGAGCGAAAGCGUGGGGAGCGAACAGGAUUAGAUACCCUGGUAGUCC
rnacentral:rRNA from 1 species